UACAGAGGGUGCGAGCGUUGUCCGGAAUCACUGGGCGUAAAGGGCGCGUAGGUGGUGGCUUAAGCGUGCGGUGAAAGCUCGGGGCUCAACCCCGAGUCGGCCGUGCGAACUGGGCUCACUGGAGCAUAGUAGAGGCAGGUGGAAUUCCGGGUGUAGCGGUGGAAUGCGCAGAUAUCAGGAGGAACACCGGUGGCGAAGGCGGGUCUCUGGGCCGUAACUGACGCUGAGGAGCGAAAGCGUGGGGAGCGAACAGG
rnacentral:rRNA from 1 species